CCUACGGGUGGCAGCAGUGAGGAAUAUUGGUCAAUGGACGCAAGUCUGAACCAGCCAUGCCGCGUGCAGGAAGACGGCUCUAUGAGUUGUAAACUGCUUUUGUACGAGGAUAAACGCAGAUACGCGUAUCUGUCUGAAAGUACCGUACGAAUAAGGAUCGGCUAACUCCGUGCCAGCAGCCGCGGUAAUACGGAGGAUUCAAGCGUUAUCCGGAUUUAUUGGGUUUAAAGGGUGCGUAGACGGUCGGUUAAGUUAGUGGUGAAAUCCCGAGGCUCAACUGCGGAAUUGCCUCUGAUACUGUUCGUCUAGAGAGUAGUUGCGGUAGGCGGAAUGUAUGGUGUAGCGGUGAAAUGCUUAGAGAUCAUACAGAACACCGAUUGCGAAGGCAGCUUACCAAGCUACUUCUGACGUUGAGGCACGAAAGCGUGGGGAGCAAACAGGAUUAGAUACCCUUGUAGUC
rnacentral:rRNA from 1 species